AUCCGUCUGAUAUGAAAAUGACAAGUUGCAAUGUAGCUCUAUGUAAAAAUAUCGUCUAAAUCACGAUUUCUGAAGCAUGCAUGUUAUAUUGCUUAUGCAAUUGUCAUUGCUACUAUUUCGUUAUAUUGAAUGUCAGCUGACAUAAUUAUAGGGAAACUGACUGACCGAGGAUGUCUUAUAAACCGUUCACAGGCUCUUACGAUGACACUGGGUAUGAAAAUCCUCAACAAGAAAACUCUGUGCAUGGGUUGUAUGGAACAAUGCAAGCUGCAAUGGUAACUGGUCAGGAGGACAUUCAAACUUCAGUACAAGAGAGGGCAAUAGCUAUGUCCAGCAGUAAAUCAAAUUGCAAUUGGGCAAAUAUGUGGCGUUCAGUAAGCUGCUUCUUGCCUUGCCUUUUUCUUAUUGUUGUGAUGUCGAUAAUACUCAGCUGUUUUAAUCUAUUGGUUUUCCCAACAAUAGUUUCCCAACAAAGCGUGUUGAAUAAUAAUACUGUAGUGCUUGACCUUUAUUCGAAAGGUAUACUCCCUGAUGCCUAUACUAUCUAAACUGGUAUAGUGCUAUUACAAUUGGAAUAUCAAAACCUGCGUAUCCUGUAACCAUUAUUUACGUGGAUGGUGAGAAGGCAUGUGAUCCAUUGCCUAGCAACAAAAAACGAAAACGUUUCGAAUCGUCUUUCAUUCUAGUGGACCCUGCCUUAGCUCCAGUCAAUGUCAUAAUCGACCAAUACCUGACUCGAGGAGCUAAAUUAAAUCUGAACUUCACGCUGCACUUAACAAAUAGCCGAAAAAAACCUGAAGGCAAUGAACAAAUAACGUUUUGUAUCCUUGAUAACAGAAACUCCUACCAACAUUACAAAGAUCACCAAGGUAAUAUCCAAGACUGCUUGAACAGAGAAAAGUACACAUUUCCUGUGAAUAGUGAUGCGAAUUUCACACUAGAAUACAUUUUCCAAGAAUCCAAGUACUUCUUCAUCAUCCUUCUUUCAACGACAAAAGUUGAGAUUCAACACUCGUACGAGCUUUUAUAUCAAUUCUAUGAUCUUAACGACUAUCACCCUCGAGCAGACCAGAUGUGUAUGAUCAGCGAGGAGAGAGACUGGAAAAACUGUUCACUGGAUUCCAAUGGAACUCAAGGCUGCUUUCUUGUGUAUGCUGCCCCAGCUGUUGACACUCCUCAAUUCACUGACAUGGAUGUGACUGUAUUUCAUAACUCACACACUCCAGUGUUUAUAGCAACAGCUA